AACACUAGAUUCUCCUUUUCUCUCUCACGCUGGAGCAGAAAUUUUAGGGUUUGUAACAAAGCAUGUGUUUCCACUUGUAGGGAGGAAGUCGCACGGACAAAAGAAGAGAAUCCAUCAACAAGCCUUCCCUGGUGAUCACGACACACGCAAGCUACUACUCCUUCUUCCCUUCCCGGUGUGUAGGCUCCAUUAAUAUUUAUUUUAAGAUUCCCGAGCGUCGGUGGACACCAAAUCUGGGAUGAGCUGGUCGGGUUUUGGAGGGUUUUCGCAUUGUGCAGGCCCCAAGUGCUAAUGAUUCUCGAACUUGCGAGAGCGGUUUCCACAGUAAAAGCCGGAUCUGGGCAUUGUUUUCUAAAUACGAAAUGGUUCCGCACCUUCCAUAUCUGCCAAAGGACCGAGGCUACGACUUCCAGAUCAGAGCGAGGCCAAGCGAGCAUUUCCUUCCUCAGUUUCUUCCAUGGUGACUAGAAGAGAGAUGCUUCAGUAACAAGAACCCUAGGGGAAGAAAUUGCGUACUACUGCAUGUAAAAAUCAGAUUAAGGAGAGUGGGAAAGAGGCCUCUAGACCCGAUGGAGCAUUGAAGGGAAAUCAGAUUUCAUGGGUAGGGUUUAUGAAAAGGUGACAGCAAAUUUAGGGUUUAAUGCCAAAUGACAAACAGAAAACGAAACUCUAGGUGGUGAGUAAUUCUAGACUAAAAUAUUCUGGGGAAAAGGUCGAGAUUGCAAUGGAUAAUGGAUAGUUUUUUGUGGAAAUGGUGAUCUAUUUGGGAUGGAAAUGUUGAAAAUCGUGCUUGCUUCA